rnacentral:rRNA from 1 species
UACGUAGGGUGCAGGCGUUAAUCGGAAUUACUGGGCGUAAAGCGCACGUAGGCGGUCUUUUAAGUCGGGGGUGAAAUCCUGGAGCUCAACUCCAGAACUGCCUUCGAUACUGGAAGACUUGAGUCCGGGAGAGGUGAGUGGAACUGCGAGUGUAGAGGUGAAAUUCGUAGAUAUUCGCAAGAACACCAGUGGCGAAGGCGGCCAACUGGUCCGGUACUGACGCUGAGGAGCGAAAGUGUGGGGAGCGAACAGG